CGGGGCGUAGCGCAGCCUGGUAGCGCACCUCGUUCGGGACGAGGGGGUCGGAGGUUCGAAUCCUCUCGCCCCGACCA
rnacentral:tRNA from 1 species